rnacentral:snoRNA from 1 species
UCACUGUGAUGAAUUAAACUUCACCAUCUUUCGACUGAGAACAAACGUUGAUGUCACAUAAGUUUUCACUGAUUAAAUAA